CCUCAAUCUUGGUACAACCAGGAGGUAUAAAUACACAUCAGAGCCAUUACACACCCUUUUGCCUGAGGCCUAGAGAACAAGUAGGUAACAAGGAAUGACUUACAUGGCUGCCAAGAACUACAACGUGAAUCUUAUAUUUUACAAGCACAAAGAUGAAAAGACGAGAUUAAAAAAACAGCAUGAUAUGGAGGAGAAUUUCCAUCACAACUGGAGGCCAGCAUUUAAUAGCUUCACAGGAAGUGAAGAGUGAGCUCCAUUUUGCUAGCCAUCAUUCAUGUUAGCAUUUGGGGUUUGCUCCACAAUUCAAGACUUACCAGAAGAAAACAUCUUACAUAGAACUAAAUCCCCACCAUGCCUGCCCAAGGAUGCACCCCAAGUUUAUGCCACCUGACUGUCACUGGCCUUCAGUGCUUCACUGUGUUUUUACCUGUUAGCCAUGCAUUGUAUACAACAUCUUUAUUUUUUAUUUUUAUUUUUUUGGGUCAUCAAGUUGCCACAAGCUGGACUUGUAUUUUCAUGCCAGGGUGUUGCUGAGACCAUGUGCAUGCUUAUAUACUGUAGCUCAGUCAAGGCACUGCCAGACCUGACUUGACUCAAACGACACAUCGGGGGAACGGCUAUACCAUGUGGCUUCAACAAGAACUGUAAUUAGUGAACUUCAAAAGUUUUUUUUUUAAGAAUUUCUGAUCUGACCUAGUAAUCAGUUUUCACUGUAAUCUUCCUCUUAGACCAGGGGUAACCUGACAACCCACCCCUUGCUAUUUUUUAGGGGGUUCUGGAGUUGAAUCAUGUAACAGGAAGUGGCAGUAAGCUACUAUGUCUAAAGUAUCACAUUGAACACUGGAGUUUUCAUUUAAGGAAGCCUUUAAUAUCUUUUUGUGGUUUGUGACUUAUGUUGUUUGAGUUCUCUAACAAUGUCCCUUGCUUACUCAUGUCUCUUGUGAGAAAUCUUGAUCUCAAUGAGAUUACAUAAUUAAAGGGUAUCUUCCUUGUAGCUUAAUAACAUAAC